AGUCCCCCGGCUGCAUCACCUUGCGGAACGCAUGGCGGGGUGGAGCAUGGAUUAGCUGCUCGUCGGCCAUGCGGGGAGCACGGACGAGCUGCUCAUCGGCGUCCAUCCAGUGCACCCAACCCCCGCCAACGACGGCCGCCCAGCAACCUCGACGGCGCGCGCCUCCAGCAUCCCGAGCAUUAGCGGCAACCUCACUGGGCGAGCUCCUCCUACCUCCGGAGGAGGUGCAUGAGCCGUGCCCGGCCAUCACACGCCCGUGGCCGUGGCCAACAACAACCUUCAGGCCGCGUCAGCGUUCGGUGGCAUGCGCAUGCUCUCCACUGGUUGAUUUAUAUGCGAGAUUUUUUUGAGUGGGGGCAGCACCCAUGGGCGUUGUGUACAUGUUCAAUUCACACAACAGCUUCUCUGAUGACUUCCUCACCUUAAAGAGCGUCUCCAAUAGCUUGUCUAUAUGAUUGUCUAUACUACUUUUUCACAAUGUGAGCCCAAAAUGGAGGUCCAACAGCUUGUGUAAAUAGAUGUCCAAACAUGCACAUCUUCUAAAUCCACCUCCACAAUGUCCAGGCCUGGACGAUGUGAAGGCAUCGUCCAUAGCUCAACCGCAGCCACUUUUUCUCCCUCCCGCCAACUCCGUCGCCCUUUCUCCCGCCAAGUCGCUUGCUCUGGAGACAAAGAGGACGCCGCCGCGAGGUCGUCGUCGCGCCACACCACAACAUCCCGAGGCGAGAUGGAAGGAGACGAGCGUUUUCUCGACAUGUUGAACUUCGGUGUAUCACCACAAGUGCCAGAUAGUCCAGUUGGGGAGCAAGAGAUGCCACCAACUCAAGAAGUGUCUGCAUCUGCCAAAGCAAAAUCCACUAAAGGAAAGAAUUGGUCUAGUCAAGAGGAUGAAUUGUUGGUGGCAGCAUGGUUGCACACCAGUCUGGAUGCUGUGAUAGGGACAGAUCAAUCAUCAAAUUCUUAUUGGGGUAGGAUUUAUGAUUACUACAGCACGCGCAAGAAAGUGUCAUGGCCGGUGCGUGUUCAAAAUGCAAUCACUUGUCGUUGGAGCACUAUUAAUGAACAAGUCAGCAAGUUUUGUGGAUACUAUCAGCAAAUUCUUAAUAGAAACCAAAGUGGGGUAACUAUCGCUCAGCAGCAAGCCCAGGCACUUGUUUUAUACAAGUCCAAAGAUCCUAAAAACAGGCCAUUUGCAUUAAUGCAUUGCUGGUUAGAGUUGCAAAAGCAUCCGAAGUGGGAGAAUCGUGUGGUUUCGAAGGGGCCUCCGAAAAAGCAGAAGAAGACCUCGGAUGCAAGUCCAGGUACAACUUCUAAUGAUGAAGACUUCGGAUCCACUGAUGCUCUUGAUACAGAGAUAAGGCCUGAUGGUAAUAAGCGAGAUAAAGAACGUUUACGGAAAGUUAAAGCUUCUGCUUCCGAUGCUCUUGCUCCCAAGUUAUCAUUAGAAACUGUGUGGGCACAAAAGCUAGAGAAGGCCGAGGCGAAAGAGGCCGCGAAGAAUGCUCGUUAUGAGCGAGCAUUUGAAUUGCAGGAGAAGCAAAUUGCAUUGCAGGAGAGGCAGAUGGCAAACCAGGAGAGGGAGAGACAGAUGGCAAACCAAGAGAGGGAGAGGCAAAUGACAAUCAAGGAGAGGGAGAUGGCACAGAAACAGUUUGAGUUAGAAGAGAAGAUCAUGUCCAUGGACACUAGUACUAUGAGUGGGGCACAACAACAAUUCUACAUCAACAAGCAGAAUGAGAUUGCCGCUCGCCGAUAGAACACAUCAGGCCAACUCUGGAUGGGUUUCCAAUGUGCCUCCGGCCUCCCCAUUUUUUGGGGAAUCUACUCCAAUGAGUGAAUCAUAGCCACCAAUAAACAGGCACCCAGUGAAGAUGUCACACUUUGAUGUGAAAUGCCUGAGAUCACAUUCAUCACCAGGAAGGGUCAAGAUGUUCCGCAUCAAAGGCGUCGGCAGUGCUACAAGAGUUGAAGAAAGAAGAGGAUUUGAUGUUGUUACUACUAUCUGUGAAGUGUCAAACCUGCCGAAGAAGGCAUGCCAAUUUUUCUCUUUGUGUUCUGAUGCCUAUAAAUAAACCCAAGAGUGAGAAAAGUGUUGGCGAACAGAUAACAAAAGCUAACCAGACUCAUAUCAGAAAAUUAUGGUAGCAAUAAAUUGUACUAUGUUUUAGGGAACCAUAUAACAAAGCCGCUUACUAUGGUAUAAAAAAGUAGCACAGUCAAUUGUGUACCUUUACAACUGAGAAACAGGGGAUAUGCUGGGGGGAAAUGGCACAUGGUAAAAGCACAAACUUCAAAUGAAUGCUCAUGUCUUCUUUCCAUAAAAGAGAACUCUUAUCAUAUUGUGGUUGAUUACAAGAACUACACUUAAUUGAUUUGUUUUCUAUUAGGCAGAAAAUAUGUUGUUGACGGGGAUUUUAAAAAGCUUGAGGUGGUACCGAACGGGAAGCAGUUCAUGGAGUUAUUCAAGGUAUCAUCUUUUUGAUAUAGAGGUGACAUCCCCAUUGUGUACUACAAACUUGAACUGGUACCUUCUGAACUGAACUUUGAACACUUGCAGCUUCUGAACUGAAUUUUGAAGCAUGCACACAACUUGAUUUCAAGCAUCGGGUUGACUUGAGGCCUAACAUCAGUGAGGUCAGAGACGACAGUUCAUGGCGGUGGCUGUCGACAACGGCCAGGACGCCAG